rnacentral:rRNA from 1 species
AUUGAACGCUGGCGGCAGGCCUAACACAUGCAAGUCGGACGGUAGCACAGAGGAGCUUGCUCCCCAGGUGACGAGUGGCGGACGGGUGAGUAAUGUCUGGGGAUCUGCCCGAUAGGGGGGGAUAACCACUGGAAACGGUGGCUAAUACCGCAUAACGUCGCAAGACCAAAGAGGGGGACCUUCGGGCCUCUCACCAUCGGAUGAACCCAGAUGGGAUUAGCUAGUAGGCGGGGUAACGGCCCACCUAGGCGACGAUCCCUAGCUGGUCUGAGGGGAGGACCAGCCACAGUGGAACUGAGACACGGUCCAGACUCCUACGGGAGGCAGCAGUGGGGAAUAUUGCACAAGGGGCGCAAGCCUGAUGCAGCCAUGCCGCGUGUAUGAAGAAGGCCUUCGGGUUGUAAAGUACUUUCAGCGGGGAGGAAGGCGAUGUGGUUAAUAACCGCAUGGAUUGACGUUACCCGCAGAAGAAGCACCGGCUAACUCCGUGCCAGCAGCCGCGGUAA